ensembl:snRNA U6 U6 spliceosomal RNA
AUGCUCGCUUUGGCAGCACAUGGGCUAAAAUUGGAACAAUCUGUAGAGGAUUAGCAUGGCCCUGAGCAAAGUCAUGAAGCAUCUCAUAUUUUU